GGCCAGAAUAGUGUAGUGGUUUGAGCAUUGCACUAUGACUCUAGAGACCAGGGUUCAAAUCCCCACUUGGCCA